UUCCCGCUCUAGAGUUUGAUCCUGGCUCAGGAUGAACGCUGGCGGCGUGCUUAACACAUGCAAGUCGAACGAUGAAGCCCAGCUUGCUGGGUGGAUUAGUGGCGAACGGGUGAGUAACACGUGAGUAACCUGCCCUUGACUCUGGGAUAAGCCUGGGAAACUGGGUCUAAUACCGGAUAGGAACGUCCACCGCAUGGUGGGUGUUGGAAAGAUUUAUCGGUCAUGGAUGGACUCGCGGCCUAUCAGCUUGUUGGUGAGGUAAUGGCUCACCAAGGCGACGACGGGUAGCCGGCCUGAGAGGGUGACCGGCCACACUGGGACUGAGACACGGCCCAGACUCCUACGGGAGGCAGCAGUGGGGAAUAUUGCACAAUGGGCGAAAGCCUGAUGCAGCGACGCCGCGUGAGGGAUGACGGCCUUCGGGUUGUAAACCUCUUUCAGUAGGGAAGAAGCGAAAGUGACGGUACCUGCAGAAGAAGCACCGGCUAACUACGUGCCAGCAGCCGCGGUAAUACGUAGGGUGCGAGCGUUAUCCGGAAUUAUUGGGCGUAAAGAGCUCGUAGGCGGUUUGUCGCGUCUGUCGUGAAAGUCCGGGGCUUAACCCCGGAUCUGCGGUGGGUACGGGCAGACUAGAGUGCAGUAGGGGAGACUGGAAUUCCUGGUGUAGCGGUGGAAUGCGCAGAUAUCAGGAGGAACACCGAUGGCGAAGGCAGGUCUCUGGGCUGUAACUGACGCUGAGGAGCGAAAGCAUGGGGAGCGAACAGGAUUAGAUACCCUGGUAGUCCAUGCCGUAAACGUUGGGCACUAGGUGUGGGGACCAUUCCACGGUUUCCGCGCCGCAGCUAACGCAUUAAGUGCCCCGCCUGGGGAGUACCGGCCGCAAGGCUAAAACUCAAAGGAAUUGACGGGGGCCCGCACAAGCGGCGGAGCAUGCGGAUUAAUUCGAUGCAACGCGAAGAACCUUACCAAGGCUUGACAUGUUCUCGAUCGCCGUAGAGAUACGGUUUCCCCUUUGGGGCGGGAUCACAGGUGGUGCAUGGUUGUCGUCAGCUCGUGUCGUGAGAUGUUGGGUUAAGUCCCGCAACGAGCGCAACCCUCGUUCCAUGUUGCCAGCACGUAAUGGUGGGGACUCAUGGGAGACUGCCGGGGUCAACUCGGAGGAAGGUGGGGACGACGUCAAAUCAUCAUGCCCCUUAUGUCUUGGGCUUCACGCAUGCUACAAUGGCCGGUACAAUGGGUUGCGAUACUGUGAGGUGGAGCUAAUCCCAAAAAGCCGGUCUCAGUUCGGAUUGGGGUCUGCAACUCGACCCCAUGAAGUCGGAGUCGCUAGUAAUCGCAGAUCAGCAACGCUGCGGUGAAUACGUUCCCGGGCCUUGCACACACCGCCCGUC
rnacentral:rRNA from 1 species